CCUAUGUAGGAUGCUAAGCGCCGAUGGGGAUGUGAAGAACAGUAAAUAAGUCGACGAAUCUACACUGGCGAGAAAAACUGCUAAAUAAGGAUGGAGGUACCCGUACCGCAAACCGACACAGGUAGACGAGAAGGAAAUUCAAAGACGAACGGGAGAACCCUUGUUAAGGAACUCGGCAAAAUGACCCCGUAACUUCGGGAGAAGGGGAGCCACAGCGAUGUGGUCGCAGUGAAGAGGUCCAAGCAACUGUUUACCAAAAACACAGGUCUCUGCGAAAUCGAAAGAUGACGUAUAGGGGCUGACGCCUGCCCAGUGCCGGAAGGUUAAGGGGAGAUGUGCAAGCAUUGAACUUAAGCCCCGGUGAACGGCGGCCGUAACAAUAACGGUCCUAAGGUAGCGAAAUUCCUUGUCGGGUAAGUUCCGACCCGCACGAAAGGCGUAAUGAUUUGGACGCUGUCUCAACAGGGGGCCCGGCGAAAUUGUAGUAUACGUGAAGAUGCGUAUUAACCCCCGACUGGACGGAAAGACCCCGUAGAGCUUUACUGUAACUUGAUAUUGGAACACGACAACGAAUGCACAGGAUAGGUGGGAGACUAAGAAGUAAGUGCUUAGGCAUUUAUGGAGUCACUGUUGGGAUACCACCCUUUCAUUGUUGGGUUUCUAACGGACAGCCGUGAACCGGUGUACGGACAGUGUCAGGUGGGCAGUUUGACUGGGGCGGUCGCCUCCUAAAGAGUAACGGAGGCGCCCAAAGGUUCCCUCAGGAUGGUUGGAAAUCAUCCGAUGAGUGUAAAGGCAGAAGGGAGCUUAACUGUGAGACAGGCAUGUCGAACAGAUGCGAAAGCAGGGCUUAGUGAUCCGGCGGUAGAGAAUGGAAUUGCCGUCGCUUAACGGAUAAAAGUUACCUCGGGGAUAACAGGCUGAUCUCCCCCAAGAGUUCACAUCGACGGGGAGGUUUGGCACCUCGAUGUCGGCUCGUCACAUCCUGGGGCUGAAGCAGGUCCCAAGGGUUCGGCUGUUCGCCGAUUAAAGUGGCACGCGAGCUGGGUUCAGAACGUCGUGAGACAGUUCGGUCCCUAUCCAUCGUGGGCGUAGGACAUUUGAGAGGCUUUGUCCUUAGUACGAGAGGACCGGGAUGAACGCACCUAUUGUGCGCCUGUUGUCGCGCCAGCGGCAUAGCAGGGUAGCGAAGUGCGGAUGAGAUGAACGCUGAAAGCAUCUAAGCGUGAAACUCGCCUCAAGAUAAGAUAUCCUUUUUAAGACCCUCGGAAGACAACCGGGUUGAUAGGUCGGGUGUGUAAGCGCUGUGAGGCGUUGAGCUGGCCGAUACUAAUAGGUCGAAUGCUUAU
rnacentral:rRNA from 1 species